rnacentral:lncRNA from 1 species
AAGAAAACACAAAGUUUAUAUACUAGUUCAACCUCAAUGCCUACAUACAGUGUCCUUCCACAACCAAGAAGCAAAUGCACUAUAAUGGUCAAGGUUUUUACAACAAGGCUUUUAUAGAGACCUCCACGUCAAAAAUAUAAAACACCUCUCUAACCCUCUAACCAAAAUAUAGGCAGCAACACAAAGGUCUGCAACAAGAUAUAUCCCUCUUCUGCAAUCUUCAACCCACUUUGAACAAUCCUCACAAUGUCCAGAACACCACGAGUUCACCUCCUAUAAUCCCAACAGGACAACAACAAUCUUCCAAAGAUUGAUAGAACUUGAUCAAUAGAUGAACACCAAAUGUGCAGAACUUGAUCAACCAGUAAGCACAAAACUCUUCCUCCUAAAGAAACUCUUCAAAGAAAGAUCUCCUCCGUCUUCUUGAUGAGUUCUUGGAGCAAUCAAUCACAGGAUCACAAUCUGAAACAACAAAUGAAAAUGUUAGUUCAACCAAAGUCUAUAAAACAAAUGCUCCUGUAGUCGACUUUUCCACUAAUAAAGUCGACUGUCAUCAGACAAUUAUAACAGAUAUAUCAAUUAGCAACAUUCAUAACAACCAAAUUGAUUACACAUUUAAUUCAGUUGACUUGCAUUUAAUUCUUUAGCAAAGAUUUGAAAUAUAGCCGUUAUAACACAAAAACAUUAACAAAAUUUCAAAACAAAUAACUAACUAAGUCGAAUUCACUGCGCAUGCAAUUGACUUAGACACUUCAAAACAAUUUUGAAAAUCUUUUCAUCUCAAAAUAACUCACAACAUUGUUUUACAAAAUUUGUGCAAAGUCACGAGUUUUAAUUGACUUACUCCAUAAUGAAGUCGACUUAAAACUUGCAGAUUUGCCAUACAAUAUAAGUUCAAUAAAGUAAAUGUGGUUUUCUUUUUAGAAUCAUAUGUUAUGCAAUCACAAGAGAUGUAUCAGGUAUAAAAUCAAUGAAUAUGCAUACACAUAUAUGAAUGGAACAUGUUGUUGAGAUUGUUGACAACACAGACUCCAUAUCAAACUAGUUUUUGAUGAUGACAACACAAUGCUUAAUAACAGUACACAUGUUACAGCAUUACAUGUUCGUGCUCUAUUGAUUGUCAUAUCUGCUGACUGCUGAACAUGUUUUGUUGAAUUACAAUGUAUGUUCCUAUGAUUGAUUGAUGUGUUAUAUUUAUGGAACAUGCUUGUAUUGAAAUGUGGGAUAAAAUGAUUUUUGAUUAACUGCACAUUUCUGAAAGAAAAGAUCACAAACACCUUUAUGAACUUAUACUUGUUGUGACAAAGUUCUAGUUUAGUCGAAUACACUCAUAAUGGAUUCGACUAUGCUAAAAUCAUUGUGCAGACUUUGUGAACCUGUGCUGUGUGAGAUUUUGAGUUGAAAAGAAUUUCAAAGAGAUUUUUCAUGUGUCAGUCGACAGUGUGGAACACACAUUCGACUAUAUUACUGUUAUGUUUGGAAUUCUGUUAAGCCUACACACUCCAACGACUAUAUUUUUCAAAUGUUAGUUAAGAGUGAUUGACCAGGUCAACUAUCAUAAAUGUUUGUUGAUUUUGUUGACUGAGGAGCCUUUGAUAGCUCCGUCCAAGGUGCUAUGUUCAGAUCCGUGAGUUUUAGAUGAUGAAAAUGGUGGCAGCGGAAGAAAGUCUGGUUUACGAAGAUGUGAAGUGCAGCGACAGUAUAUUGAUGAUGGAAGAUGGGCUGGAUGAGGUGCUUUGAUGGAAUGAAACUAGCUCAGAAGGCCUUCACCUUUGGAAGGAAGCUAGAGGAGAAUUUGGGAGAAGCACAAGUGUGUGACCUUCGGUGGGAGAAGACGCUGGAAAAGGCAUCAGCAAAUCUAUUCUCUCAUAUAUUCAAAGGUGUCUCUACAAAGAGUAAGGAGGGAAAUUUAUAAUGUUAUCUCCCUCGUGGUAGAUGAAUCUAAACGAUGCCUAUUGCUACCAUCAUGCACAACUUAUCAUACACGUGCUGGAAGUUGUUGAAUCUAGAAGCUAAACGGAAAUGCAAGCUAACAAUGAAGAAAAGCUACCACGGUGUAUUUAGCAUAAAGGAGGGGUGCGCUAAGCACCCUUAGUCUUCUAUUU